CUUGCUCAUAUUUUUUGGAGUGUGUGCGUAGACAGAUGCUAAAGUACAUACAUGUAUAUGUACAUAUGUUUAAUGAUUCAUGGAUCCCUGUUGCUUGUGGAAAACAAUUUCUACACAGAGAAAAUGAUACAGAAAAGGCGAUGAAGUAUAUACAAACAAUACUGCCAUUCUAACCACUAACUACAUACAUAUAAGGGACAUUCGUGGACUUCUUUGACCCAAAAAAGCUUUGGAUUUGACCAGCGUGAACAAAAUUAGCAGGCCCAGCUUGGAAGUAAGGCAGGAACAUCUGUAUGUAUAUAGUAAUAUGUAUAUCAAUAUACUUUUGACAA